rnacentral:rRNA from 1 species
CCAAUAGCGUAUAUUAAAGUUGUUGCAGUUAAAAAGCUCGUAGUUGAAUUUCGGGAUCAGUAGGUCGGUCGUGCCACAGGUAUGCACUGGUCUCACUGGUUCCUCCUUCCUGAUGAACCGUAAUGCCAUUAAUUUGGUGUUGCGGGGAAACUGGACUGUUACUUUGAAAAAAUUAGAGUGUUUAAAGCAGGCUAACGCUUGAAUACAUUAGCAUGGAAUAAUGAAAUAGGACGUUCGAUCCUAUUUUGUUGGUUUCUAGGAUUGACGUAAUGAUUAAUAGGGAUAGUUGGGGGCAUUAGUAUUCAAUUGUCAGAGGUGAAAUUCUUGGAUUUAUUGAAGACUAACUACUGCGAAAGCAUUUGCCCAAGAAUGUUUUCAUUAAUCAAGAACGAAAGUUAGGGGAUCGAAGACGAUCAGAUACCGUCGUAGUCUUAACCAUAACCUAUGCCGACUAGGGAUCGGAUGAUGUUAAUUUUUUAAUGACUCAUUCGGCGCCUUACG